UACAGAGGGUGCGAGCGUUGUCCGGAAUCACUGGGCGUAAAGGGCGCGUAGGCGGCCUGGUAAGUAAGGGGUGAAAUCUUGCGGCUCAACUGCAAGGCUGCCUCUUAAACUGCUAGGCUGGAGCACGGUAGAGGCAGAUGGAAUUCCCGGUGUAGCGGAUGAAAUGCGUAGAUAUCUGGAGGAACGCCGGUGGCGAAGGCGGCAUCCUGGACCAUUACUGACACUGAUAAGCGAAAGCCAGGGGAGCAAAACGGG
rnacentral:rRNA from 1 species